UACGUAGGGUGCAAGCGUUGUCCGGAAUUAUUGGGCGUAAAGAGCUCGUAGGCGGUUUGUUGCGUCGGCUGUGAAAUCCCGAGGCUCAACCUCGGGUCUGCAGUCGAUACGAGCAAACUAGAGUGUUGCAGGGGAGACUGGAAUUCCUGGUGUAGCGGUGAAAUGCGCAGAUAUCGGGAGGAACACCAGUAGCGAAGGCGGCUCGCUGGGCCAUACCUGACGCUGAGACGCGAAAGCGUGGGGAGCAAACAGG
rnacentral:rRNA from 1 species